AGAGUCUUCGCCCGGGAAGAAGGAUCCUGUGAAGGUCCGGGAUUUUGUCGCCGCGGCGAAAGCAGCGUUCGAGUCGCUUGAAUCUU
rnacentral:tRNA from 1 species